rnacentral:rRNA from 1 species
AUACGGAGGAUGCGAGCGUUAUCCGGAUUUAUUGGGUUUAAAGGGUGCGUAGGCGGUUAUGCAAGUCAGCGGUGAAACGCAAGGGCUCAACCCUUGACCUGCCGUUGAAACUGCGUGACUUGAAUGCGGAUGCUGUGGGAGGAAUGUGUGGUGUAGCGGUGAAAUGCAUAGAUAUCACACAGAACACCGAUUGCGAAGGCAUCUCACAAAUCCGUGAUUGACGCUGAGGCACGAAAGUGUGGGGAUCAAACAGGAUUAGAUACCCUGGUAGUCCACACUGUAAACGAUGAUGACUCGCUGUCGGCGAUAUACAGUCGGUGGCCAAGCGAAAGCGAUAAGUCAUCCACCUGGGGAGUACGACCGCAAGGUUGAAACUCAAAUGAAUUGACGGGG